rnacentral:rRNA from 1 species
GACGAACGCUGGCGGCGUGCCUAAUACAUGCAAGUCGAACGCAGUGGGGACGGGUGAGUAACCCGUGGGUAACCUUCCAUUAGAUGGGAUAACACUUGGAAACAGGUGCUAAACUGAUACUGAUGGAUGGACUAGCGGUGCAUUAGCUAGAUGGGGAGGUAACGGCUCACCAAGGCCACGAUGCAUAGGCGACCUGAGAGGGUGAUCGGCCACACUGGAACUGAGACACGGCCCAGACUCCUACGGGAGGCAGCAGUAGGGAAUCUUCGGCAAUGGACGAAAGUCUGACCGAGCAACGCCGCGUGAGUGAAGAAGGUUUUCGGAUCGUAAAACUCUGUUAUUAGAGAAGCGGUAUCUAACCAGAAAGCCACGGCUAACUACGUGCCAGCCGCCGCGGUAAUAC